CUUCAUAUUCUCCCCCCACUACAAAAAGUAGCUAGCUGACCUCAGAUUUGUCACUGUCCUGGCCAGUGUCACUUGGCUUUACUGGAUACAAAUGGGAGGCUCACUCUUCCUCACAUUAAACUUCCCAAUGGAGACCCAGGGAUGGAGUGCAAGCUCUACCAAAAUAACAAGGAGAAAGGUCAAGGAAGCUGAAAUAUUUCUAACUUAUGAAUAUCAAUUUGGAAAUUAUUUUUAAGACAGCUGGCCAUGGAUGACCCAGGACAGAAGCCUGACGAUCCUCAUGCAUGUGCCCCAGAGAUUGCUCUGGCAUACAUAUCUCUCUCAGUGGCCAGGCCUUACUUCCAACUAGAGAUAAGGAAAGGUCUCUCCUUGGGCCAUGAAGACUCUGGGAAAAUUAUUCCCCAUUAAUUUAGAUUCCCAGCAUAAAAACAUAUCUGAGCUUGAAGAUCACCUUCAACAUUCACAUUCUUAUCUUAUAGGGUAGGAAACACCUAAGGAAAAGGGAGAGGCCAAAGCAGGGGAUUCCAGAAUCUUCUGUAAAGGAUAGGAACUACUUCCUGUGGACAAAUCAUGUCCUAGGCACCAGAGAUGUUAUUGUGGGUUUGAAAUCUCCAGACUUGAACCAGGUCUGACCUGACUCCCAGCCUGAGGCUCUUCCUUUUGUUCCCUGAUACUAACUGAUCUAUUUCCACUCUCUGCCUUUCCUUUUCUUUUCUCUUCAGAAUUAAAGUAAUGUUUCCCUUUCUGAGCACAGUCUCCCUGUGGCCUGUCCCUAGUCUAUCCACACCAACCUCUCCCAAUAUCCUUAUCAAGCUGUCAAGGUAAGGAACACUGGCUUCCGAAAGCCCAGGCCAAGGAAUCAUAAACUCUUGGUGGUUCUGCCAAGCUAUAAAGGCCUUAAAUCCAAGCCCAGGUGCUGGAUGAAGGGGUCUGUCAUCCCCAGUCCUACUUGCCUCAGCCCAGAAAGACUGAGCACCCGGGGCUUGGACUCCAUGUGAAUGUCUUUGUCAGUCACAGGAUCUGAAGUUGGACUUUUCAUAAACCUGGAGGAGAUGAGAUCUGCACCAGAGAAAGGGGGGAGCUUUGCUAUUGAAAUCACAGAUUCUUGGUGUCUGGCCUCCAGCCUGCCAAGGUCUUAGACAGGCCACUUCCAAACCAUUUAUUUGGUUAUAAGGUAAGAAAAAGAACCAACACAGUCAUUUUCUGUCUAUUCUCUGCACAGCGCCACUGUCCAAACCUACCAUUGUCACCUCCAACAUUACUGCAGUGGAGACCAAGGACUUCUCAUUGACAUGCCAGGCUACAGGUCAAAUUCACCCUUACCAGUGGUUCAUAAACGGAGUUGCCACAGCUGGUAGCAGGAUACAGCUGUCGCCAGAUAAGAGGACACUCACUCUCAGCAGUCUCACAAGAUUCGAUAACAAAGGGCCAUAUGAGUGUGAAAUCCGGAAUCCAUUUUAUAGCAAUAGGAGUGAUCCAUUCACACUGGAUGUUGCCUAUGGCCCAGAUAUUGCCACAAUUGACCGUAUAAGCGAUCAAUUCGCAACAGGGAUCAAUGUUACCUUGAGCUGUGUUGCUGAUUCUAACCCACCAGCACAAUUCACUUGGUUACAGAAUGGACAAUCUGUCAGCAACUCAGCCUCAUUUUCUAUUAUUACAUCCCUGAAUCAUAUCGGAAACUAUACCUGUAUUGCAACUAACUCAUUUACUGGCUUGAAGCACACUGCAAACAAGACUCUUAUGAUCUAUGGUGAGUAGCUUGAUUGGGCCCCCAACUUUGUGUUGGGCUCUCUCUUUCCCUGCAGAAAUAGACAUGGAGAGAAAUAGACAUAAGUGACAUUCUGCCUCCGUGGUCCCAUGGUACAAUGCAUUGUGGUAGAAGGAACCUUGAACUCAGAAUCAUGAAACUUGGAUUUAAUCAUUCCUCCUCUGUCUAUUA